CCUACGGGUGGCAGCAGUGAGGAAUAUUGGUCAAUGGUCGGGAGCCUGAACCAGCCAAGUCGCGUGAGGGAAGAAGGUUCUGAGUAUUUUAAACCUCUUUUGCCAGGGAACAAAGGCGGCCACGCGUGGCCGUAAGCGGGUACCUGGAGAAAAAGCAUCGGCUAACUCCGUGCCAGCAGCCGCGGUAAUACGGAGGAUGCGAGCGUUAUCCGGAUUAAUGGGGGUAAAAGUGGGCGCAGGCGGGGUGUCAAGUCAGAGGGAAAAUGUCGGGGCUCAACCCCGGCCGGCAUUUGAAACUGGCGUACUCGAGUUGGGGAGAGGGAUGCGGAAUUCGUGGUGUAGCGGUGAAAUGCGUAGAUAUCACGAGGAACCCCAAUGGCGAAGGCAGCAUACUGG
rnacentral:rRNA from 1 species